GCAUGCUGGGAGUCAUGAAUGAGUUUUGUACUAUGUUGAUACCCAGCAUGCAUUUCAGCAUAAAAUCUUCUUUUGUUGAUUGUCACCAUUGUUGAGAUUC